UACGUAGGGCGCAAGCGUUGUCCGGAAUUAUUGGGCGUAAAGAGCUCGUAGGCGGCCUGUUGCGUCCGCUGUGAAAUCCCGGGGCUCAACCCCGGGCUGCAGUGGAUACGGGCUGGCUGGAGGCAGGCAGGGGAGAACGGAAUUCCUGGUGUAGCGGUGAAAUGCGCAGAUAUCAGGAGGAACACCGGUGGCGAAGGCGGUUCUCUGGGCCUGUUCUGACGCUGAGGAGCGAAAGCGUGGGGGAGCGAACAGG
rnacentral:rRNA from 1 species